CCAGAGCUGACCCCGUUUACUUACGAAGCAGUCUCAUCUAAGGCAGACAUCAUGAAAUUCGCUGUACUAGCCGUCGUGAUUUGUGCCAUGGUAGCUGUUGAUGGAGCACCUAGCAAAAGGCUACUUGAUUUCGGUGGUUUAAAUAACUGUCAAGUUACGGUAAUGUGUUUCGUCAAUCCAUGUAUGUUUGCUAUGUGUCCUGGUAAUCCUGGGGCUACCUGCAGACAAGGCUGUGCUUGUUCUGCUGUAUGGACUGAUACCUCUGGUAAUACGAUCACCUGUUGAAACUCCUGUUAUAUGUCUUAAAAUACUUACAAUAAUUAUAUAUCAAUGUGUGAAAUAAAAAUUAAAAAUUAAUCACUGAAUUUAUAAUUAGUUAUAUGUGAUUAAUCCAACUAUAUGUAAUUGCCCCUGUUCCAAUCUAAGUUUACCAUUUUCCCACAAUAUACUCGUCAUUUCACCUCACUCCUUAAAUACAUAAUGACGUCAUUUAUACCAAUUAUUUCACAAAUACGAUCAGAUGGUAUAUAAUUCCCAAAGGUGUACAAGAAAUAGCACUUGUCGUCCGGUCAUGAACGGAACUUGUUAUUCCCUUUUAAACCAAUUCAGAUUGAACCAUAGUCAGGAAAGUAUUUAUAGUUUAUUGGCUUAUGUCCGGUUUCUAUGGAAUCAGUUCAUUUGGAGGUGCAGACUUGAGUAACCUAGUGUUUGAAGAUCCAAGAUGGCGGUCAACGAAUAAUUGACCUAUAUUCUUCCCUGUGUUGUUUCUUCAGUUUAGUGCAUAAGAUAAAUGCAAAGUACAAAAAAAUAAAC